AAAGUACUCCCUCCGUCCUAAAAUUCUUGUCUUAGAUUUGUCUAGAUACGGAUGUAUCAAGUCACAUUUUAGUAUUAGAUACAUCCGUAUCUAGACAAAUCUAAGACAAGAAAUUUGGGACAGAGGGAGUAGUUG
rfam:Triticum aestivum genome assembly, contig: Triticum_aestivum_CS42_TGACv1_scaffold_406288_5BL